AGAGAAUGAGCCAUAAAAUUAAACGUAAAUACAUAUGAAAUAUAUUAGUAUAUUUAGAGUAGAAUUUCUUCCAAGUGAUGAAAUGCUAUAAUGUUACAAUAUGCGCUUAUCAUUAUUUUACUUAAUUACUGAAAACAAUCGAAGAUAUUUUGAAAAGAAUUGUAAACUUACGCGAUAACAUAAUACUGCGCAACAUCUUUCACCCUACAGUCUACAAUACCCUCCCGUCACGCAGUUGUCUGUUACACUGCGAUUCUGCGCUGUAAAUAUAUCUCAAAGCGUUAUAUGUAUGGUACCAUGUGUUUUCAGUCAAGAAUUGGGUGCUUAAGUCACUGCUGCCUGCGCUACCAGGAGUCUGGACUGCGGAAGGUGUUUCUGAGAUCCUUGGCACGGAUGCUGCACUAGGUGUCGGGGGACUACUGGGUGUCUGGGUGGACGACGCUAGGGUCGGUGUAUCCGGAAGACUGGAGGAUGUUGCUUCUCCGGUGCGGUCGGAAAUUAGUUGUUGUUCUUCGUUCUCACCGUCUGCUGGACUCACCACGAAUCUCCCUGAGUUCGAGCGAAAUUAAUAGAUGGUUCCACAGAGUUCUUGGAAUUCUUUGGAAUUCCUUAACAUUUUAAAAACAUUGCGAGGCAUUGAAUUCAAAACUGAUCGGGUCCCGUAAGCAGGAGAAUUGUCUCUAGUUGGAGAAGAAGCGGAGUAAGGAGGAGAAUGUUGCGACAAGACUUACAUUACAUAGCUCGUUACAUUUAAAAACGUGAUAUUACUG
rnacentral:misc_RNA from 1 species